AUUGAACGCUGGCGGCAGGCCUAACACAUGCAAGUCGAGCGGAUGAAGGGUGCUUGCUUCUGGAUUCAGCGGCGGACGGGUGAGUAAUGCCUAGGAAUCUCCCUGGCUGUGGGGGAUAACGUCCGGAAACGGGCGCUAAUACCGCAUACGUCCUGAGGGAGAAAGUGGGGGAUCUUUGGACCUCACGCUAUUAGAUGAGCCUAGGUCGGAUUAGCUAGUUGGUGGGGUAAAGGCCUACCAAGGCGACGAUCCGCAACUGGUGUGAGAGAAUGAUUAGGCGCAUUGGAACGGAGACACGAUCCAGAGUCCUAAGGGAAGAAGCAGUGGGGAAUGUUGGACAAUGGGCGGAAGCCUGAUCCAGCGAUGCCGAGUGUGUGAAGAAGGUCUUGGGAUUGUAAAGCACUUUAAGUGGGGAGGAAGGGCAGUAGGUUAAUACCUUGCUGUUUUGACGGUACCAGCAGAAUAAGCACCGGCUAACUACGUG
rnacentral:rRNA from 1 species